ACGCUCGACACCUACGGGAGGCUGCAGUGGGGAAUAUUGCACAAUGGGGGAAACCCUGAUGCAGCGACGCCGCGUGGAGGAAGAAGGUCUUCGGAUUGUAAACUCCUGUUGUUGGGGAAAAAGAGGAUGGUACCCAACAAGGAAGUGACGGCUAACUACGUGCCAGGAGCCGCGGUAAUCUGAGCGGGCUGGCAAGGC
rnacentral:rRNA from 1 species